rnacentral:rRNA from 1 species
UACGAAGGGUGCAAGCGUUGUUCGGAUUUACUGGGCGUAAAGCGCGCGCAGGCGGAUAAGCAAGUCAUAUGUGAAAUCUCGGGGCUCAACCCCGAAACUGCGUCUGAAACUGCUAAUCUAGAGUCUUGGAGAGGGAUGGGGAAUUUCCUGUGUAGGGGUAAAAUCCGUAGAGAUAGGAAGGAACACCUGAGGCGAAGGCG